UACAGAGGUGGCAAGCGUUGUUCGGAAUUACUGGGCGUAAAGGGCGCGUAGGCGGCCUUCUAAGUCAGACGUGAAAUCCCCCGGCUUAACCUGGGAACUGCGUCUGAUACUGGAAGGCUUGAGUUUGGGAGAGGGAUGCAGAAUUCCAGGUGUAGCGGUGAAAUGCGUAGAUAUGACAUAGAACACCAAUUGCGAAGGCAGCUUACUACCCGAAUAUUGACACUGAGGCACGAAAGCGUGGGGAUCAAACAGG
rnacentral:rRNA from 1 species